rnacentral:rRNA from 1 species
UACGGAGGGGGCUAGCGUUGUUCGGAAUUACUGGGCGUAAAGCGUACGUAGGCGGCUUUGUAAGUUAGAGGUGAAAGCCCGGAGCUCAACUCCGGAAUUGCCUUUAAGACUGCAUCGCUAGAAUUGUGGAGAGGUGAGUGGAAUUCCGAGUGUAGAGGUGAAAUUCGUAGAUAUUCGGAAGAACACCAGUGGCGAAGGCGACUCACUGGACACAUAUUGACGCUGAGGUGCGAAAGCGUGGGGAGCAAACAGG